AUCGCUUCUCGGCCUAAUGGCUAAGAUCAAGUGUAGUAUCUGUUCUUAUCAGUUUAAUAUCUGAUACGCCUUCCAUAGUGUUGGCUCAUAUAUUAAUCUGAUUUUUGGCUUCGGGUCAAGGGAGCGAGGUUUACCUCACCCUGACCACGGGUUGCCUCGGCGUUGCACUACAGUCGAGCGCGGCCCAUUUUUA
rnacentral:snRNA from 1 species